rnacentral:rRNA from 1 species
UACGUAGGUGACCAGCGUUGUCCGGAUUUACUGGGCGUCAAGAGCGCGCAGGCGGUCGUUCAAGUCGAGUGUGAAAGCCCCCGGCUCAACUGGGGAGGGUCACUCGAUACUGAUCGACUUGAAGGCAGGAGAGGGAAGCGGAAUUCCCGGUGUAGUGGUGAAAUGCGUAGAUAUCGGGAGGAACACCAGUGGCGAAGGCGGCUUCCUGGCCUGUUCUUGACGCUGAGGCGCGAAAGCUAGGGGAGCAAACGGG